rnacentral:rRNA from 1 species
AGCGAACGCUGGCGGCAGGCCUAAUACAUGCAAGUCGAGCGGCCCUUCGGGGCAGCGGCGGACGGGUGAGUAACGCGUGGGAAUGUGCCCUUUGGUACGGAACAACUGAGGGAAACUUCAGCUAAUACCGUAUGUGCCCUUCGGGGAAAGAUUUAUCGCCAUUGGAGCAGCCCGCGUUGGAUUAGGUAGUUGGUGAGGUA